AUGGCGGCCACCACCACCAUGGCGCUCUCCUCCCCCGCGAUCAAGCUCGCCGGAGCCUCCUACGCCCUCGGCGGCGGCGGCCGCAUCACCAUGCGCAAGGCCGCGCCCAAGGCCUCCGCCUCCAACAGCCCGUGGUACGGCCCCGACCGCGUGCUCUACCUCGGCCCGCUCUCCGGCGAGCCCCCGAGCUACCUCAGCGGCGAGUUCCCGGGCGACUACGGGUGGGACACCGCGGGCCUCUCCGCCGACCCGGAGACCUUCGCCAAGAACCGCGAGCUCGAGGUAAUCCACUGCCGCUGGGCCAUGCUCGGCGCGCUCGGCUGCGUCUUCCCCGAGCUGCUCGCUCGCAACGGCGUCAAGUUCGGCGAGGCAGUCUGGUUCAAGGCGGGCUCCCAGAUCUUCAGCGAGGGCGGCCUCGACUACCUCGGCAACCCUAGCUUGGUCCACGCUCAAAGCAUCCUUGCCAUCUGGGCUUGCCAGGUCGUGCUCAUGGGCGCCGUCGAGGGGUACCGCGUCGCCGGUGGCCCGCUCGGGGAGAUCGUCGACCCACUCUACCCCGGUGGCAGCUUCGACCCCCUUGGCCUAGCCGACGACCCGGAGGCGUUUGCUGAGCUCAAGGUGAAGGAAAUCAAGAACGGCCGCCUUGCAAUGUUCUCCAUGUUUGGAUACUUUGUGCAGGCCAUCGUCACUGGUAAGGGUCCGCUGGAGAACCUCGCUGACCACCUCGCCGACCCUGUCAACAACAACGCGUGGGCCUUCGCCACCAACUUUGUGCCCGGCAAGUAA
rnacentral:rRNA from 1 species